UACGUAGGGUGCAAGCGUUGUCCGGAAUUAUUGGGCGUAAGAGCUCGUAGGCGGCCUGAUAAGUAGGGGGUGAAAUCUUGCGGCUUAACCGCAAGGCUGCCUUCUAAACUGUCAGGCUAGAGCACAGUAGAGGCAGGUGGAAUUCCCGGUGUAGCGGUGGAAUGCGUAGAGAUCGGGAAGAACAUCAGUGGCGAAGGCGGCCUGCUGGGCUGUUGCUGACGCUGAGGCGCGACAGCCGUGGGGAGCAACAGG
rnacentral:rRNA from 1 species